GACGAACGCUGGCGGCGUGCCUAAUACAUGCAAGUAGAACGCAGUUGCGAACGGGUGAGUAACGCGUAGGUAACUGCCUCAUAGCGGGGGAUAACUAUUAGAAACGAUAGCUAAUACCGCAUACUGUUAGAUGUCCCUUCGUUGUAUUAGCUAGUUGGUGAGGUAAAGGCUCACCAAGGCGACGAUACAUAGCCGACCUGAGAGGGUGAUCGGCUAUACUGGGACUGAGACAAGGACCAGACUCCGACGGGAGGCAGCAGUAGGGAAUCGUCGGCAAUGGACGGAAGUAUGACCGAGUAACGCUGCGUGAGUGAAGAAGGUUUUCGGAUCGUAAAGCUCUGUUGUUAGAGAAGCGGUAACUAAACAGAAAGGGACGGCUAACUACGUGCCAGCAGCCGCGGUAAUUC
rnacentral:rRNA from 1 species